GGGGUUGUAGGUCAGUGGUAGAGCAUCUGCUUGACAUGCAGAAGGCCCAGGUUCAAUCCCUGGCAUCUCCA